CGUCACUAUAUUAAAAAUUUAGCUAGCUCGGCAUCAAAGCAUAGUGAGUUGCUUGUAAGUCACUAUGAUGAUCUCAGGUCUGAAAGAUAUUUAUAUCCAUGUGUUUCGUGAGUAGCACUUGACAGCAGAACGCUCAGCAGGUGAGUCACUUGUUCAGUAACGAUGUACCCUUACAUCUCAUUUGUAUGUCAUACUAGUGUCACCAUACUCUUUGGUUAAGAGAACAACCAACCCAUAUGGUACACAACGACCUUCACUCAAUAAACAUCAUCAUCCCGUAAUGACGUAUCAUUUGAUCGCAAAUUUAUUUAAGAACUAUACGAUAAAUCCUUUCUUUAUCGUACGCUAACAUAGUUCUAGGAACUUCAUCACAGUACAAGAGUUCAAAGAAGAUGUCACU
rnacentral:lncRNA from 1 species